rnacentral:lncRNA from 1 species
AGUGGGGGCACAACUCGCUAUGACUUCUAGUGAACUUGCCUUUAAGACAACGCUAUUAACUUUUAGAUAUUUCGAUGCAUGUGUUACGCAGAGAUGUGGGAAACGUGUAAGGUUGAGAUCAAUGGACAAAAUGUGUACAGAUAAAUGGUCCCCUUAAAGGUUGUAAGAGAUAUAUGGAACAGAAACUUCUUAGUAUUCUUCUA